CGAUCUCGUUAGGGGUGCCCGCAGCACGGGGCUGAGAAAGACCCUUUGAACCUGAUCCGGCUCAUACCGGCGUAGGGAAACGUAUCCAUGCAUAC
rnacentral:ncRNA from 2 species